AAUUUUGGACAAUGGGGGAAACCCUGAUCCAGCAAUGCCGCGUGCAGGCUGAAGGCCUUCGGGUUGUAAACUGCUUUGGUACGGAACGAAAAGUCUUGGGCUAAUACCCUGGGCUCAUUACGGUACCGUAAGAAUAAGCACCAGCUAACUACGUCCCAGCAGGCGCGGUAAUACGUAGGGUGCAAGCGUUAAUCGGAAUUACUUGGCGUAAAGCGGGCGCAGGCGGUUUUGUAAGACAGUGGUGAAAUCCCCGGGCUCAACCUGGGAACUGCCAUUGUGACUGCAAGGCUGGAGUGCGGCAGAGGGGGAUGGAAUUCCGCGUGUAGCAGUGAAAUGCGUAGAUAUGCGGAGGAACACCGAUGGCGAAGGCAAUCCCCUGGGCCUGCACUGACGCUCAUGCACGAAAGCGUGGGGAGCAAACAGG
rnacentral:rRNA from 1 species